CUUGGCCGAGAGGUCCGGGUAAUCUUUGAAUCUGCAUCGUGACGGGGAUAGAUUAUUGCAAUUAUUAAUCUUCAACGAGGAAUGCCUAGUAGGCGCAAGUCAUCAGCUUGCGUCGAUUACGUCCCUGCCCUU
rnacentral:rRNA from 1 species